rnacentral:rRNA from 1 species
GACGAACGCUGGCGGCGUGCUUAACACAUGCAAGUCGAACGGUGAAGCGCUUGCCUUUUUGGUGGGUGUGGAUGAGUGGCGAACGGGUGAGUAACACGUGAGUAACCUGCCCUCUUCUUCUGGAUAACCUCAUGAAAGUGGGGCUAAUACGGGGUAUUCCGGGUCUGUCGCAUGGCGGGUUUGGGAAAGAUUGCGCCUUUGGGUGUUUUCGGUGGGGGAUGGGCUCGCGGCCUAUCAGCUUGGUGGUGGGGUGAUGGCCUACCAAGGCGGUGACGGGUAGCCGGCCUGAGAGGGGGGAGGGCCACACUGGGACUGAGACGCGGCCCAGACUCCUGGGGGAGGCAGCAGUGGGGAAUAUUGCACAAUGGGCGGAAGCCUGAUGCAGCGACGCCGCGUGAGGGAUGGAGGCCUUCGGGUUGUGAACCUCUUUCGCCAGUGAAGCAGGCCUGCUCCUGUGUGGGUGGGUUGACGGUAGCUGGAUAAGAAGCGCCGGCUAACUACGUG